UUCUGCCCCACUCUUUGAUGGAAGGGCACAAAAAAGCCGCAAGAGCCUGGUGGGUGCUGCCUGAGCACAGGGGGCAAUGCAGGAGGCUGUUCUCUACCUGCUGGCCUUAAGACUUCCCUCUGAACGGUCCCCUCCCCUUGUGCAGCUCUACGGAGAGUGUGGGUCACAUUUUAGGAAUAUUUCACAGACACCUCCCUUCCUAUGUGUGAUUCCAUGGACCAUCUAUACAUAGAUUUUAUGCUACCACCUAUCACUGUAGUGGAUUUUGUGUAGUCUCUGGCACUUCUGCCUUUUCAAGUGCAAUUUAGCAGCUGAAAUGGAUGAGGACAGCCAACACCACAUGGGCAGUCAUUUCUUUGCAGACCACCAGUGGCAUAUGGACCACAGCUUGAGAACCUCUGGUGGACAUGGACUGUAAUAUCUAGCCAUUGCAAUAUUCUCGAGGUCAGUGUGAUCUGACUCCACAGUAUAAAGUAUUCUGUGUGCUGGUCUAUUCUGUUCAAGCUGCAUUUAUUUAAAAAAA